UGAGAAAAAUAACACGUGAAUGCUUUUGACUUAUAUGUUUUAGUCCAGUUAUACCAUAGCUUCUUUACUAUGCAUUUGUUAGCAAAUAUCAGUGAUACAACCUUGGAAAUAUAUCACAGUAACUUUCUAGCACAGAACACUGACUGACUUAGAGUUCUCAUGGCUUAUUUUGCAAAUUGUCAGACUUGAGAACAGAGGAUUAAGGAUGAUUUUUAUAUCAUCCAUAAAAUCUCCAUUCUUUGCCAAAAUUAAUAAUGGAGAACUAAACAUAGUACAAAACAUGUUUGUUUUUGUGAAGUGGGCCUGUCAUACUUAGGGAUAAACCAGACAAACUACCUAGGUACAAGAGGAACACUAAAGGCUUUUUCAUAAUGUCAACCAAUAAGGAUGCCUUGGAAGCUUGAAUCAGGAUGAGAACAGACCUAAGAGGCUCCAUGGGGUUUGGAAAAUAGAAGAAACCUGAGUUUGCCCUAAGUCUAGGUUUUUGGGGAUGACUUUCAAGGCACUAUGUCAAUUCUAGGUACUAAUGAACAGCCACCAUGUGCCAGGAACUGUUCAAGGUUCUGGCAAGUAAAGAAAAAUGCUAUCAAUUACCUCUUACUCAGGACACCCUUGUGGUAAGAGAAAUUAGAAUAGUCACAUGUGGGUGGAGCCUAACAGAAAUUAAAGGCUUUCACAGGCAUUACCUCAUUAAUUGCAAAAUCUGAAACUUACAAUGCAUCUGUGAUAUUGUGAGGAUAUUUGAAAAUAAAAGAAAGGCAUUUACCUGCCAGUUCAAGCUUAGCUCUGGCUUCUUUGUCUUUGGCAAUAAAUCUGUAUUCACCCUGGUCACGAGGUUGAAUAUUACAAAUCUGUAACCUGUGUAUCUUUCCUUCACUCAUCAUCUGAUGUUUGUCACCCUGAACAACAACCAUGUUAUUUCUUAGCCACUGGACUUCCACCUUAUCUUUGUUGAGCUCAGCCAAAAAGACAACAUCAGCACCAGGGGCUUCAAGAAUAUCUUGGGGAGGCCUGAUGAUCUCAACAGGGAUUUCUGAAAAAAAUGCAAAAUGAAUACAAACAUGUUCAUAUUUGGGUUCACAACCUUUAAAAACUGGUGCUAAUAUUAAAAUUGUCCUUUCACUCAGUGUGUACCUUCCACAAAAAGUCUAGCUCGAGAUUUUCUGUCUUCCACUCCACAAGCAUAUUCACAUUCAUCAUCCAGCCUGCAAUCUUUGAUAAUGAGUCGGUGUAUACUUCCAUCUUUUUCAAAUUUGUAUCUAAGAGAAGAGAUUGAAUUAUUGGUUAGCUUGCAUAAUGAUCACUAAAUUGUCAAAUGUGUAAUAGUUACAGAAAUAGAGAUUAAGAAGCUUCCACUUACU
rnacentral:lncRNA from 1 species